CGCCUCUUGUUUCUCCUAUAUAAGAGGUCCUGCCUGCCCAAUGACAUAUUGUUAAACGGCCGCGGUAUCAUGACCGUGCAAAGGUAGCGUAAUCACUUGUCUUCUAAAUAAAGACCGGUAUGAAUGGCAAAACGAGAGUUCAACUGUCUCCUUUAACCAAUCAGUGAAAUUGAUCUUUCCGUGCAGAAGCGGAAAUUUAAAUAUAAGACGAGAAGACCCUAUGGAGCUUAAAAUAUAAACCAUUUAUAAAAUAAUAUACCAAAAGGCUAAUAAUUAACAUAAAUUCUGGUUAAAAUUUUAGGUUGGGGCGACCACGGAAUAAAAUAAAACUUCCGAGAUGAAAUUAUAAUUCAAGGGUAACAACCCUAAAAAAUAAAACAUUUAACAUAAUUGAUCCAAUAUUUUGAUCAACGGACCAAGUUACCCUAGGGAUAACAGCGCAAUCCUUUCCAAGAGUUCUUAUCGACGAAUGGGUUUACGACCUCGAUGUUGGAUCAGGACAUCCUAAUGGUGCAGCUGCUAUUAAGGGUUCGUUUGUUCAACGAUUAAAGUCCC
rnacentral:rRNA from 1 species